rnacentral:rRNA from 1 species
GAUGAACGCUGGCGGCAGGCCUAACACAUGCAAGUCGAGCGGAUGAGAGGAGCUUGCUCCUCGAUUCAGCGGCGGACGGGUGAGUAAUGCCUAGGAAUCUGCCUAGUAGUGGGGGACAACGUUUCGAAAGGAACGCUAAUACCGCAUACGUCCUACGGGAGAAAGUGGGGGAUCUUCGGACCUCACGCUAUUAGAUGAGCCUAGGUCGGAUUAGCUAGUUGGUAGGGUAACGGCCUACCAAGGCGACGAUCCGUAACUGGUCUGAGAGGAUGAUCAGUCACACUGGAACUGAGACACGGUCCAGACUCCUACGGGAGGCAGCAGUGGGGAAUAGUGGACAAUGGGCGAAAGCCUGAUCCAGCCAUGCCGCGUGUGUGAAGAAGGCCCUCGGGUCGUAAAGCACUUUAAGUUGGGAGGAAGGGCUUACAGCGAAUACCUGUGAGUUUUGACGUUACCGACAGAAUAAGCACCGGCUAACUUCGUGCCAGCCGCCGCCGUAA